GAAUCUCAGCAACAGAUAUCUCAGCUCUUGUGAUGAUGAUGAACGUAAAGAAAUGUGAUACUUAGUGUGAAUUGCAGAAUCCCAUGAAUCAUCAAGUUUUUGAACGUAAUUUGUGCCCGAGGCCUUGGUCAAGGGCACAUCUGUCUAGGCAUCA
rnacentral:rRNA from 1 species